AGAUCGAAUGGAGAGAUUCAUCGUCAACGCGUUUAGUAUAUGUGCGUGUUAUGAUACGAGUUAUCCUUGUGAUAUUGCUUGUACGUACAUGUAUAUUUUACUGCUGAAUGUUGUCGGCGUGCACUUCUCUCCUAGUAGGACGUCGCGACCCGUUGGGUGUCGAUUUAUGGCCUAGAUGGUAGUCUUUAAUUUAUUUUAAAUUGAAGACCUCUGGUGACCUAAUCGGCUGCCCGGCGGUAUUCGCACGGUAAUGAGUCGCAUUUUAUAUGCGUCAAGCCCGUCGCAAGCGCGAUUAGAUUUCUGGUAGUGCGGACUCAAUGCCGUCGCUAGUACUAAUCAGCUGUUGGUUGUAUGGUGUUCUUUGACAGGCUCAAAUAUUAAUUACCGGUCGGCGACGCUAUG
rnacentral:rRNA from 1 species